rnacentral:rRNA from 1 species
UCGAGGGGUAACGAUGGCUUCGGCCAGGCGACGACCGGCGCACGGGUGAGUAUCGCGUUUGUAACCUACCUCUGACUGGAGGAUAGCCCGAAGAAAUUCGGAUUAAUACUCCAUAAUACUAUGGACAGGCAUCUGUUCAUGGUUAAAGCCCCGGCGGUCAGAGAUGGGCAUGCGUGACAUUAGCUUGUUGGUGAGGUAACAGCUCACCAAGGCUACGAUGUCUAGGGGGUCUGAGAGGAUGGUCCCCCACACUGGUACUGAGACACGGACCAGACUCCUACGGGAGGCAGCAGUGAGGAAUAUUGGUCAAUGGGCGAAAGCCUGAACCAGCCAUGCCGCGUGAAGGAUGACAGCCCUAUGGGUUGUAAACUUCUUUUGUACGGGAAGAAACGCUUCUACGUGUAGAGGUUUGACGGUACCGUACGAAUAAGCAUCGGCUAACUCCGUGCCAGCAGCCGCGGUAAUACGGAGGAUGCAAGCGUUAUCCGGAUUUAUUGGGUUUAAAGGGUACGUAGGCGGGAGCUUAAGUCAGUGGUGAAAUCCUGCAGCUUAACUGUAGAACUGUCAUUGAUACUGGGCUUCUUGAAUGUAGUUAAGGUAGGCGGAAUGUGUAAUGUAGCGGUGAAAUGCUUAGAUAUUACACAGAACACCGAUUGCGAAGGCAGCUUACUAAACUACGAUUGACGCUGAGGUACGAAAGCGUGGGGAGCGAACAGGAUUAGAUACCCUGGUAGUCCACGCUGUAAACGAUGAUCACUCGUUGUUGGCAAUACACCGUCAGCGACUGAGCGAAAGCAUUACGUGAUCCACCUGGGGAGUACGACCGCAAGGUUUGAAAAACUUCCAAAAGGNAAUUGACAGGGGGCACCGCACCAAAGCGGAGGAAACCAAUGUUGGUUUUAAUUGCGGAUGAAUUAGCGCGAGGAACCUUACCUGGGCUUAAAUGUAGAACGACGGACCGGGAAACGCCUGGUCUUUCUUCGGACGGUCUGCAAGGUGCUGCAUGGCUGUCGUCCAGCUUCGUGCCGUGAGGUGUCGGGUUAAGUCCCAGUAANCGAGCAGCAAGCCCUCAUCAUUAGUUGCCAGCGGGUAAUGCCGGGGACCAACUAAUGANNAACUGCCGGGNUGUAAACCCGAGAGGAAGGUGGGGAUGACGUCAAGUCAAGACACCCC